AAAAAAAGAACAAGCAGCAAAUGACCACCACACUACAUCCUGGAGACUGAGGCCGGGGCUGUGUCUCCAAUUGCCUUUAUACCGGGGUCCGUGGGAGGAGCCUCAGGAGCAGUCAGCAGAGGGGGGCGUGUCCAGACAGGUAUAUGUAGUUCACCACACUGACCCCCACUCCUUCCCCUCAACUCUUUUUACUGGCUAUCUCCCCUCUGACUUUAGUCACAACACAAAACAUUGACAGUCCAUUUUCCUCGCAGAUGUUGUCUAACGCAUUGAGUUUCUGCAGGAACUAGUUUUUCGCUCCAGAUUCCAACAUCUGUGCUCUCUUUUGUCUCUGUGAAGCUCAUUGGUCUCUCCCUCGCUCUCCAUCAGAAUCAGAUUUAAUAUCACCAGUAUACAUCAUGAAAUUUGUUGUCUUUGCAGCAACAGUACAAUGCAAUACAUGAUAAUAGAAACAAAACUGGGAAUUACUGUAAAUAUAUAAUUGAAUUGACUUUAUUACUUACAUCCUUUUUAUGCACAAGGAGUAAAAAUCCUUCCAUUACGUCUCUAAAUAUGCAAUGUGUAAUUUAUAGUAAUUUGUAAUAAACAUUAUGUACAACAGGAUAGUCCAUAUAACAUAGACAUACAGUUGUGUCAGCAUGAAUUAAUCAGUCUGAUGGCCUGGUGGAAGAAGCUGUCCCGGAGCCUGUUAGUCCUGGCUUUUAUGCUGUGGUACCGUUUUCUGGAUGGUAUCAGCUGGAACAGUUUGUGGUUGGGAUGACUCGGGUCCCCAAUGAUCCUUCGGCCCUUUUUGCACACCUGUCCUUGUAACUAUCCUGAAUAGUGGGAAAUUCACAUCUGCAGAUAUGCUGGGCAGUCCAUACCACUCUCUGCAGAGUCCUGCGAUUGAGGGAAGUACAGUUCCCAUACCAAGCAAUGAUGCAGCCAGUCAGGAUGCUCUCAAUUGUGCCCCUAUAGAAAGUUCUUAGGAUUUGGGAACCCACACCAAACUUUUUCAAGCAUUUGAGGUGGAAGAGGCUCUGUUGUGCCUUUUUCACUACACAGCCGGUAUGUACAGACCUCGUGAGGUCCUCGGUGAUGUUUAUGCCAAGGAACUUAAAGGUGUUCAUCCUCUCAACCCUAGAUCCAUUGGUGUCAAUAGGGGUUAGCCUGUCUCCAUUCCUCUAGUAGUCCACAACCAGCUCCUUAGUUUCUGCGACAUUGAGGGAGAGGUUGUUUUCUUGACACCCUUGUGUCAGGGUGAUGACUUCUUUUCUGUGGGCUGCCUCGUUAUUAUUUUAGAUUCAGCCAAUCAGUAUAAUGUCAUCAGCAAAUUUAAGUAGCAGAUUGGAGCUGUGGGUGGGAAUACAGUCAUGGGUAUACAGAGAGUAAAGGAGAGGGCUUAGGACACAGCCCUGAGGGGCUCCUGAGUUGAGGGUCAGAGGGGCAGACACAAGGGAGCCCACUCUUACCACCUGCUGGCAAUCUGACAGCAAGUCCAGGAUCCAGCUACACAGGGCCGGGUGAAGGCCGAGGUCUCUGAGCUUCUUGUCGACCUGGAGGGAAUUAUGUCAUUAAAUGCUGAACUGUAGUCCAAGAACAGCAUUCUCACAUAAGCAUCCCUCUUCUCCAGAGGUGUGAGGAGGGUGUGUAGAGCUGUGGUUACUGAGUUAUCUGUCGAUCAGUUGUGUUGGUAGGUGAAUUGUAGGGAGUCCGGUGUGGGUGGUAGAAUACUGAAAAUGUAGUCAUUAACCAGCCCCUCAAAACAUUUGCUUAUUAUUGAGGCGCGUGCAACAGGACACCAGUUGUUCAGACAUGUUACCUUGGUCUUUUUAGGUACCAGAACAAUGGUGGAUGUUUGAAGCAGGAAAGUGCUCUGUACUGGGAGAGGGAGAUAUAAAAAAUGUCUGUGAACAUGCCUGCCAGUUGUGUCCUGCGUAUCCUGAGUACCCACCCUGGGAUGCCGUCUGGUCCCGUGGCCUUGCGACUCGUUGGAAACACCUGUGUACUUCAGCCUCAGAAAUGACCAAGCUGCAGGUCGUAUCAGCUGUAUGUCUUCUCAGGGGCUCAAUGUUGGCUACAUCGAAUUGAGUGUAUAAAAGAUUUAGCUCAUCUGGGAGAGAGGUAGCGAUGUUGUAAAAUCUACUUCAUUUAGCUUUGUAGUCUGCGAUGCAGCCCUUGCCAUAAGAUACAUGUAUAUAAUAGUUAAAUUAGUUAAGCAGUCCAAAACAAUUUUUUUUUAAUGUACUGAGGUUGUGUUACUGGAUCUGACGUCCAUUCAGAAAUCGGAUGGCAGAGGGGAAGAAAGUCUUCCUGAAUUGUUGAGUGUGUGCCUUGAGGUUUCUGUACCUUCUUCCUGAUGGUAGCAUCGAGAGCAAGGCUCAAAGAUUCUGCAGAUUCACAAUUCCGUUAUUAGUCUAUUUUGCAAAAUAAAAUUCUUUCAUUUGGAAGCCAUUCAAGGUAACAGAAAAUAUUUUCCUUCCAGUGGAAACUAUCCACAGAACAAAAACAAUUCUUUUUUCAGGUUGACCAUUUCCUGGCAGAGAUUUGGAAACCCUUCCAUUAUCUUCUUUGUCAUUCUCUACACUUUCAAAGUGUUCUUUAAAACCAAUCCAAUUAACCAGCUUUCGGUCACUGUCAGCGUGUCACUUCCUUUAAGACUCUGGUGGUUACUGCACUCUGAAGUACCACAUUAGAGGCAUAACAUAAAUGGAGCUGUGAUUGUUGUUUACCACUUAAAGUUAAUGACUGCUUAAUUAAUGACUUGCAUGUGAAGAAACAGAAGUCUGAGCUUAAUACAACAGGAGAGGAGAAGCUUUCAUUAAGCAAGAGCAAUCCAACCGAGGUGGGAGUAGCAUAUUGGAAUUUUAAGGAUAAUGUUACUUUUGUGAAGAUAUCCAGAUGGUGACAACGGUGAUUCUGACUGCAGUUCUUAAUCCACUUUCUCAGUCAGCAGUCUGACAGGAGCUGAAGAGAAGAUAACCGAUUUAGAUCUUCAAGCCAGUAAUUUUUCUUCAGAAUUGGAAAUGCAUUCUGAAGAAUGACCUGAAUCACUAAUUUCUGUUCUCCAUCAAAUGCUGCCUGAACUGCUGUGUGUACUAAAUGUUUUUGCCUCAGUGUCAAUUUGGAUUUCAAAUACUUCUUCAGGAGUCUGCGGAGAUUUGGCAUGACAUCAAAAACUUUGACAAACCUCUAUAGAUACCAGUGGAGAGUAUAAUGAGAGUAUAUGGACGUAUCAAUGCCUUUGAACGGAAAAUUCAGCCCAGUAUAUAUCAUGGGCCUUCCCAACUAUUCAGCACAUCUACAUGAAAUGCUGCCGUGGGAAAGCAUCAUCCAUCAUCAAAGAUCUCCACCAGCCAGGUCAUGCUCUCUUCUCGCUGCUGCCAUCAGGUGCCUCAAUAACCUCUAGGUUCAAGAACAGUUACUACCCCUCAACAACUAGGCUCUUAAACACACAAAAUAGGAUAAUAUUUUUCCUUGAACUUUGAACUUUAAAAUCUCUAUCAGACUGGUUUCCCUUUGAUCUCAGAUGGGAACCAUAUCUGAAUUCAGCUGAUGUUUAUACUUGAACUCCAGCACCGGUGUGAAAUUGGACCAUUUUCAGGAUGAAAUUAUUCCUGUCAUUAGAAAUACAGGAAUUUUUCUUUAAGCACAGAGCAAACUGUUUUCACUGCUGCUUUGAGUGCAUUCAUUGUCCCACUCUGAUUGGAUAUCAGGGUUAUGUUGUCUGCCUGUUUUUCAACAAUUAACUUUAUCUCUGAUUGUCUUACAGACAAGCUGCAGCAGAAGAUUUAAGGUUUCAGUAUAUAAAUAGUUUUAAGCGUGCUGUCCUGCAGAUAAACUUCAUCUUUUUGGACAGAGAAGUGCCCUGCUACUUUAUAUUCUGUUGACUUUAUAGAGACCAUUAAAGUCAAGAAAGGGGGGAAAUGAAGGAAAUGAAAUUGCUAAUCUUACAACAUUGCCAAACAGUUCAGCUUGCUUAUGUUAGUAUUAAACUCAUUAAAGUGGAUUCCAGCGAAUGGUUUACUCUGGUUAAGGGUUCAAAGAUCAGAAAUCACCAGUGAACAAAGAGUGAGCUUGAAGUGUGGAGAUAAGUCAGAUGGAAAUUGUCACCCAAUUGGUAAGAGAAUUGUGGAAGGAAUUAACCAAGGUCAUUGAGGCAUGCCAGUGAAUGGGUUUCAGAGAUGAUUAGCUCUAAUUUUAGAGACAUGUAGGUCUGAUGAAUGUAAACAUUUUGCCUUUCUCUCUCUGUUGAAGAAAUAAUUCAGGGACCUUUCUCCUCAUUUGUAGAAAACAUUGGAGCGGCAAAUGACAAAGCAAUGUAGGGGUGGGCAUCAGUCCCGAACACCUGUAUUGGUAGGAUGAUGGCAGGGUAGGUGGUGCAACGUGAACAAGUAAAGAUUGUAGCCUUUGGCAUCACAGAGAUCACAAAUCAGCACAGUGAUUUAUUUUGAAAUUUGAAUGAUCCAUGGUGAUUGACAUAAAUUUGGCAAUUAUCAUAGAGUGAUGAUGUACAAGAUUCCACAGAUUGUAUCCUGUCUCAAGCCAUUAUUUAUUAAUGGGAGCUUUGAAAGCAUUUGAUGUGAAGUAGCAACAUUCUCUACAAUUGAUAUGCUCUACGUCAGUGUAUCCCAAUCUUUUUUGGCCCAAUGCCCCCAUUAAAGCACUUUCAUAUAUGCCAACACCUCUCUUAGGUUUAAUAUACUUUCCAGGACCCCCAGUGUUUAAAAGCAUGUCUAUCAUACUUUAACAUGAGAAAAAUGAUACUGCUAUAAAUUUUUAUUUGUCUUUAAAUCGGGCUUACACAGUACUCAUGUGGUGUUCAACAGCUUUGAUAUCAAUGUGAUCCUUGAGCUUAAUGGUUUUUAGCAAGAGUUGAAAUAUCUGGUUCAAGUUGUGGCAGCAAAAGCCAUGAGUAACAAUGCCUAAGUAUUUUCUGUUUUUUUUGUGAAUAUGUGAUUCUCUGCAUUGUAGCCUCGUUCAAUGAGGUAGGAGAAUCAAAAUGCAAUGAAGAGCAGUUUGCCACUUCUCCAAAGACCAGGAAACUUCAUAUGACAGUGUAGCCACAUACCACAAAAGCUGACAUUUUUGAAAAGCAUUUUUGCUUCUUUGUCAUUAUGAAUAUUGAUUAUUUCUUCUUGCAAGCUCUUUUCUUGUCUUUCCACCUUGUAAAGAAAGGUUACCCAGUCUGGAAUUUCUAAUCGUUCAAAUCUUUGAAUCGAUUCUGAAAAUCCCUCUUUAGUGACUGUAGGUGUAAGCAGUACUCUUGCAAAUUACCAUCUGUGACAGAGAGUUUUCAUACAAAGGAAAUGUAGAACAUUCUUCUCCCAAUGUUUUGCUUCUAUAUUUCCAAUUUUCCGAAAAAGUAAACACUGUCCUUUUUGCCUGGAUUAAAUUGAAAUUCUCACCCUACAGUUUCAUAUUUAGAAUGUUCAUUUUGUCAUACAGAUCAGAAUCAGAAUCAGACUUUAAUCGCCAAGUACCUGUGCACACACAAGGAAUUUACUUCCAACAGAUGUUGUCUCUCUGCUCAUAACAAUAAUAAUGAUAAAUAUAAAUGAAAAUAUAGAUUAUACAUACAGGUAGUGCAAUCCAAGUAAUAGUUAGCCGACAGUUAACCGGCAGUUAACUGUUCAGCAAAGUGACCGCAGUAGGGAAAAAACUUCUCCAGUGCCCAUUAGUCUUAGUCUGGAGGGAUCUGAAGCGCCUACCAGACGGAAGCAGUUCAAACAGUCCGUGCGCAGGAUGGAAGGAGUCCUUUAUGAUGUUCCCCGCCCUCUUCUUCAACCUGGAAGAGUACAGGUCCACAAUAGAGGGCAGGGAGGCUCCAAUGAUGCGCUCGGCAGUCCUCACUGUGCGCUGUAGUCUGGUUCUAUCCUGCUUGAUCUAUCUUGAUCGGCUAGGUAUGCCACAUCUCUGCAUAGAAGUUCAGUCUUGUUUCCCAAGUUCUUGUCAACUUUGAGGAAAUAUUCAACCACAGUGUCAAAAAAGAUCAAAGAAAUGUUUUAAGUAGCAGCCACCUUUUGGCAGCCAAUGCAAUUCAGUAGGAAGAAGCAAGUGUUGAAACUCUUCAUCGUUAUCUUGGUAGAACUGGGAAAAUAUUUUGCUUUUUAAUGGAUGAGCUUUAAUUUUAUCAAUAGCAGAUAUAACAAGAGUUAUGCUUGAAAAAUGACGCUGGCUGAAGUUUUUGGCUGCAAGAUGUUGACAAUGGAUUACAAACAGACUUGGAUUUUUUUCAUAAAUGACACUAAACCAGAAUGACGGCCUGUCAUAUAUGGUGCUCCAUCUGUUGCACAAGCAAUCACAUUCCAAAUCACUACACUUUUACCCUUAAUAUACAUAUUGAGCUCAUUGUAGGUUGAUUCUCUAUUGGUAUUUGUUUUUAACAUUUUAUAAAAGAAAAUCUCUUGGUAAACUUUUGCAUUUUUGAUCAAUUGGAUACUGUAUAUGCCAUUAGCAAUGCCUCCCUGUCUCACACGAUUGACUCAUCCAGUUGUAUCUCAAAUUCUGUGUCUUGUAGCUCUGUUCAUAGUUGAUACACAGUUCUUCACUCACUUCAUCAAUACGAUGAGCUACAGAGUUAUUAAUCAGAGGAAUUGAUUUUAUAAUACUGGCAUCCAUUUUGGGAACUGUGGCGAGCUCUUCUGAUGCAGCAAGCAUUAUUAGUCUUUCACCAAUUUUAUGAGAUUUUCCACACAUAGCUAUCAUUUUAGAAAUCUCAUAAGUAAGAAAGAGACCACUAUCAUUUUUAGCUUUCUUGGCCAAUGACUUGAGUGUGAAAUGCUUUUCAAAUGUUUCUUUCAUCUUCUGGAACUGAGUAAUACCAUGCGUAGCCUUUUCUGGGUGUCUUUUAUGGAAAUGUUCCUGCAAUCUUUAUGGUUUCAUGGCUUCAUUAGACAGUAUAGUAUUACAAAUAAAAUACAUGGGGUGUUGAUGAUCUGAUAAGAAUGGAAUAAAACCAUUCUCCAGGUAUGUAACAUUUUAUUGAUGCACUUUCUGUAGCUUUUGGCUCUUAGCAGAAUCAUGCCAUAUGUAUGUAUCCAUCAUUAAUGAGGCUAAAUUAAAAUAAAAAAUUAACACAAACUGGGAAUGCCUAUCAGAUGUUGAUGAUGACAGCGAGUUGACAUGGAUGGAAUGAUGGUAGCGGCAUGCAAAGGAAUGGCGAGGCAAAGGUGAAAAUAAUCACAACAGCGAAACUUACUUUGACAAGGAUUCAGAUUGGAAUCUGAAUGUUAGUUGGGUUAGGGUUAGGGUUAGGGUUAGGGUUAGGGUUAGGGUUAUGUUCAGCUGAUGUUGAACUGAUGUUCAUGAGCUGAUGUUCAGAAAGCUACCUUUAUACUAUUCCAGGCAGCACAAUUGAACAAUCACAUAUAGUCUCAGAAUCCCCAAAGAUGGUUUUUAACCACACAUGUGAAGCUGAAGUUGCUUUGAACAGCUCAAGGAAUCCUUAGGGUCGGCAGGUUCACUAAUUGGCUUUAUUUCACUGUUUGGUUCAGGCCAGUGCUGUAUCGUUGCAUGACUGUUUUCUGUAGAUCUAUAGAGAAAAUUGAGAGGGUGUAAUUGGCUUACCAACUGUUAAGUUGUGUGAACUCGUUCCAUGCCACAAGUCAAGAGGAACUGUUGGGCACCUCGGUUGCUAAGUUAUGCAUCCCCAGUAAUGUCUGGUUGCAAAGGUCAGGUGAGGUUGUUGAGUUUCGAAUGUGUUGUGAUGCCAAACGCUCACUGCCUGCAGAGCUAUGGUUCUUCCUGUGUUCCUGUGCCUCUUCCCUGUUUUUUGGAAGUAUCAGCUCUAUUAACAGUUGGCCAGUUCUUGUGUCUCAAGUUAAGGUACUGCUUACUGUCCUCCCCUCCCCCACCCCCAAGAAUCUUGAACUGCCCCGAUGAUUUCUGUUUCCCUAAAGCCCCUUUAGGACACAUAACUGUCCCUGUUGGGAAUCACUGCUCUAGAUCAACUCCAGUCCAUAAGACAGAAUAUUGCUUCAAAUUUUGGAAUCAUUGUAGUUGCGGAGUCAGAGGAAUACAACGCGAUACAGGCCCUUCGGCCCAACCAGUCCCUGCUGACCAUGAACUCCAGCCAGCUAGUCUCAAUUUCCAGCAUUUGGCCCAUAUCACUCUAAGUCCUUCCCCUCUAUGUACCUAUCCAAGUACUUAAAUAAUACUGUAACACCUGCCUCAACUACUUCCAGCAACCCAUAAACCUCGGUGUGAGAAAGUUGCCCCUCAAGUCCUUUUAAAUCUUUCAUCUCUCACCCUGAAUUGAUCCCUGCUGAAGGGCCGCGGCCAAAAACGUCAACUGUCCUCUUUUCCAGAGAUGCUACCUGGCCUGCUGAGUUCCUCCAGCAUUUUGUGUGUGUUGCCUGAAUCUAUCCCUCCUAGUUUCAGCCUUCCCUGACCUGCCAAAAAGGUUUACUGUUUACCUUAUCCAUGCCUCUCCAAUGCAUAGCAUUGCAAGAGACUAUAGAUGAUUGUAGGCUUAAUUGUCUUCAGUGGCACAACCCUCUGCAUCAUCGUGGACAUCUUCAAAAGAUAAUGUGUCAAGAAGGUGGUAUCCUCUACUAAGGACCCUCACCCAUGUGGAACGCGCGCUCUUCUCAUUACCACAAUUGUGGAAGAAGUACAGGAGGCUAAUAACCCACACUCAGUGAUUUAUGAAUUUCUUUCCCUAUUCCAUCAGUUUUCUAAACAACUACAUUAUUGCUUUUUUUCAGUUAUUUAUUUUGUAAUUUAUAGUAGUUUUAUGUCUUUGCACUAUCCUGCUACCAUAAAACCAAAAAAAUUAAUGUAAACUACAUCAGUAAUAGCAAACCUCAUUCUGAGCAUUACAUCCCAACUUCUGUAUUCAAUACAUUGACUGUCAAAGUCCAAUAUGCAAAAAGCUUUUCUCACCACAUGUUUCUACCUUUGAUUCAAUUUUUAGGGAACCAGGGAUCUGAACUCCAUGGUCCUUCAACUCUGCACCAAACAGCUAUAGGAAAAUGCAUUCUGUAAGUUCCUCAGAGUUGACUAAAGAUGGUCUUCAGGAAGGAAAGUGGCUAAGGACCUCACUGUGAUUUCUGGUCUCCUCUGUUACAAUAAUCUCUUUGCCCAGAGACCCAACUGAUCUUUUCCUCCAGCUGCAUUGAAUUCACUUUUAAGGACUCUACAAGCUAUGUUCUUAGUAUUAUUUGUUAUUUUUUUUAUUUGCACAAUUUGUCACUUUUGGCACAUUAGUUUUUCAUAAAUUCUAUUGUAUUAUUUUCCUGUAAAUUCCUGCAAGAAAAUGAACCUCAGGCUUUGGAACUCAAAGCACCAGGUUCAGGGACAAAGGGACAAUUACUACACCUCAACCAUCAGGCUCUUGAAACAAAGGGGGUAACUUAACUCAACGUCACUUGCCCCAUCACUGAAAUGUUCCCACAAUCAGUGGAGUCAAUUUCAAGGACUCCUCUUCUCAUGUUCUCAAUAUUUAUUAUAUAUUUAUCAUUAUUUCUUUUUUUUUGCAUUUGUUGUUUUCUGCUCUCUGGUUGAGUGCAGUUGGGCAGUCUUUCAUUAAUUCCUUUAUGGUUAUUAUUGAGAAUGCCCACAAGAAAAUGAAUCUCAAGGUUGUAUAUAGAGACAUACAUGCUCUUUAAUAAUAAAAUUACUUUGAACCUUUGAAUUUUGAAUCUCAAGGUAGUAUAUGUUAACAUUCAGUACACACACUUUAUUAAUAAAUUUCCUUUGACUUUGAUGACAAUAUUCCCUCCAGCCCAAAUAGCCUCUCAUUCCCAUAGCUCCUUCACUCUGAUUUCAGUUAGUGAACUUCCCUGAGAAUCACUCUGGUCCAGGUGGGGAAAUGGUGGAAUGUUUUCAUGAUGUUUCUUUUUCAAAAUUCAGUUACCCAACAUCCUACCCAUAGAUGCAAAACUCAGAGCCUCAACAGUCAUAAGGCAACAAACAACAUUAAGAAUAAGGUGCUCAAGCUAUUAGAUAAAUGCCUGUGAUGAUCAGAAAUAUUGAGUGUUCAUUAGGUAGUUGUAACUCCCAAUAUUGAGCUGACCCUUUACUACAUCAAGGAAUAUCCUGAUGCUAUUAAAGAGUUUGGAGCUGUAAUUAUGGUGGUGGCCAAGUUGAAAUCUAAAAAUAAUGUUUGAGUGAGAUAGGGCAUUCAGGCAUUUCAGUCAUUAAGUGCUUCUGUGGCACCUGUUACUUUCAAUAAUAUUUAAAGGACUGGUUUGAAACUUCGGAGAUUCAAGAAUUUGAACACAACAUAUUUUCGUAAGUACAUGGGGAGAACGUUAAUGGCUGCGGCAAAUAGGUUGUCUUUUAGGGUCCCUCUUCUUCUGAUCCCAAAUAGUUCAGUGUCAGCUUUGCUUAGAGGGAGUAUGAUUCCCUUUAAGCCAGGGAACCAUGGCUUCAAACACCAUUCUUUGAGUGGAAUCUUGGCUAGUAGCUUCAAUGUGGUGAGAUGAUAUUAAUUAACGCAGCGGUGAAGGUCUGAACAUGCUGGGGUGUCUCUUCCCGAAGUCUUGCCAACCGAGUCCCAUAUGGUAUCAGUGAACCUUUGAUCAUUUUUGAAGAAGAGCAAUCAGUGAUGGUCAAAAUUAAUCUCCUUAUUAACCCCAUAAGAGAAACUGGCUGCUGUUAUUUGUAGCACUGUGAAUUAAUUUGCUAUCUUGCAAACUGACAUGACAAGGGGCUGAAGGCUGAGAGGGUAUCAGGAGGACAUGAACAGAGUGAGGGGCAGGACCUCCAGCCUGGAGCUGCUCAGUUUUAGCUUUCUACUCAUCAAUCUGUAGAAUGUUCAGAGUUAUAUGUUGUUAUAUUUCACUUUCUCACAACAAAACUGGAGCAACAAUACCCUUCAUAAACACAUCAAUAGUUUCAGAGUACUUUGGGAUAUCGUGGAAAGGAUACAAAAUGUCCUACUUAAUGGAAACCUUCCUAUAUAUUGCUGAACUCAUCUCAUUUGUUGAGUCUCUAAGCUCAAUAAUGUACCAUAUUUGCAAUUGGUUAAGAGUUUUCAAUUCUCAUGAGUUUACUGACAUACUGGCCUUGACUACCUCCCACCAUCCAGACUGCCCACUCGCAAAUUUCUACAGAUGUACCAUCAAAAACAUUCUAACUGGCUACAUCACUGUCUGGUAUGGGGGAGGGGGGCAGUGGCACUGUACAAAAUUGAAAUAAGCUGCAGAAAGUUGUAAACUCAGUCAUCUCCAUCAUGGACACUAGCCUCCUCAGCAUCCAGGUCAUCUUCAAGGAGCGAUACCUCAAAGAAGACAGCAUCUGUACUACGAACCCUCAUCACUCAGGGCAUGCUCUCUUAUUGCUACCAUCAGGGAGGAGGUACAGGAGCCUGAAGGCACAUGCUUAAUGAUUCAGUUACAGCUGCUUUACCUUUGCCAUAAGAUUACUGAACGGACAUUGAACCCAAGAACAUUUCUUUGCUUCUUUUCUUUUCCUCUUUUAGUGCUACUUAUUUAAUUUAACUUUUUAAAUAUAUAUACUUACUGUAAUUUGCAAUGUACUGCUGCCACAUAACAACAAAUUUCACAGCAGUGCUAUUAAACCUGAUCCUAAUUAUGGACAAUCCCCUUGCUUGUUAACUUCACACAUACUCUCCUGCUCCUCUCUCAUCCCAAAUGUAUCUCUCUAGGCUUUUUUGUAUUGUUGCUUACUAAGGAAAAUUAGGGGAAUAGAACUACCCACAAAAUAUUCUUUAUGGAAGGCAGCCAACUCUUCCAGCAUUGAAACAGGCCCUUCAGUCUUUCCAGCCAUCAUACUAUUAGCUUCACACUCUUAAUUCCCAGGAUUCACCUUUCACUUACGGAUAAGAGGCAAUUUACAGUGAUCAACUAAUCUUCCAACCCAGACGGAAGAAACCAUAGCAAAUGAUGAAAACCCACCAGGAUCAAGAACAACUUCUCUCCCACUCUAAGAAGACACUCAAACAGACUGCUGUAUCUUAAAGAUGACCUUGCAAUUUACCUCGUCAAAGCCCUUGCGCAUUAUUGCUUAACUGCACUGCAUUUUCUUGUAACUGUAUAUUCUGUACACAGGGGAUUCUGUACACAGGAUGCUGGAAAUUAUGAGCAAAACACAAAAUACAGGAGGAACUUGGCAGGUCAGUCCAAAUCUAUGGAGAGGAAUAAACAGUCAAUGUUUCAGGCCAAAACACUUCAUCAGGAUUGGAGAGAAAUUGCUUUUUCCUUAUAUUAUCUAAAUAUACUUUUUUUGAAUGAUCUGAAUGGAUGGUAUGCAAAACAAAGUUUUUCACUGUAUCUCAGUUCAUCUGGUAAAAUUAAACAAAUAGCUUAAGUGAAGGAAAUCCCAACAGAACAAACAACAUCUGUAGGAAGAGAAAUCAACUUAACAUCUCAGAAAAGAAGAUAUUAAUUUCUGAUGAAGGGUCUUCUACUUCCAACAUUAACUGUUUCCCGAAGUUCAAAGUAACUUUAUUACCAAAGUACAUAUACACUCAAUGGCUAUUUUAUUAGUUACCUCCUGUACCUAAUAAAGUGGCCAUUGACUGUAUGUUCAAGGUCGUCUGCUGCUGUAGCCCAUCCAUUUCAAGUUUUGACGUGUUAUGUCUUCAGAGAUGCUCUUCUGCACACCACUGUUGUAACACGUGGUUAAUUAAGCUACUGUCAUCUUCCCGCCAGCUUGAACCAGUCUGGCUAUUCUUCUCUGAGCACAUUUACAGGACAUUUUCACUCACAGAACUGCCACUCACUAGAUUUUUUUUGCACCACUAUGUAAGCUCUAAACUCUAUUCAAGAAAAUCCCAGGUGAUCAAAAGCUUCCAUGAUGGAAGUCACUUAGAUCACAUUUCUUCCCCAUUCUGAUAUUCGGCCUGAACAACAACUGAGCCUCUUGAUUCUGUCUGCAUGCUUUUAUGCUUUGAGUUGCUGCCACAUGCCUUUGAGUGGCUGAUUAGACAUUUGCAUUAAAGAGCAGGUGAACAGGUAUACCUAAUAAGGUGGCCACUGAGUGUAUGUCACCAUGUAUUGCUCUGAGAUAUAUUCCAUGCAUUUCUCUCCAUCAAUUCUGUAGUUUCUCUCUCCAUGGAUACCGUCCAACCUGCUGACUAUUCCCAACAUUCUCGUUCUGGAUAAUCAGGAUCAGCAGCUCUGUAGGUGUUCCCAAACAACACCGCAUCAAAAAUUAUACCACAUAAUACACAUAACUCUUUGAGGUGCAUUAAAUUUUAUAUGUUCCACAUCUUUCCUGUUUAUAAAACAUGGCGAUGAGUUGGACAUCAGUCUCGUGUUCUUCCUUGGAUUGCUCAUUUAAGAAAAGAAAACUCUGUCUCCACAAAAUGGAUGAUGAACAGCCCAGAUGUAACUGACAGCAGAAACGGAACAGAACUGCUGUGCUUACAAUGUUUUAUGUGAGUGAGUAAUUAAUGACUUGGUGGUAUAUGGUGUGCUGUGCAAUAUCAGCUCUCCUUAUUAAUUCAUGGGUGAGUCCCACCAUCAGCAAACUUCUCAAAAAUCAGUUACAAACAAUGGAUUUUUUGAACGAUUUUAGUUAAAAGAUACUUAGUGCCAUUAACGUGCAGGCGGAGCCAUUGGAAAGAGCUGCAUGUCCUUCUUAACCAGUUUGAUGAUGUUAAUUACAAGUAAAAUAAAACCUAUGAAGAAAACAAAAUCACCCCCAUUUGUCACCCAGGUAUGAUUCAAAGUUCAAGGUUCAAAGUACAUUAUCAAAGUAUGCGUACAUUAUACAACCAUGAGAUUUGUCUCCUUACAGGCAGCCACAAAACAAUGAAAGCCAACUGAACCCAUUAAAAAAGAGUCAGACAAAUACCCUAUGUACAGAGAGACAGAAACAAAUCAUGCAAAACAAUAAAAAUAGGCACAAACAAGAGAAAAGGUGCAGAUACUGGAAAUCCAAGACACACCCACAAAAUGCUGGAUGGACUCAACAGAUCAGGCAGCAUCUAUGGAAAAGCGUACAGUCGAUUUUUUGGGCUGAGACCC